UCCAAUCCGAGCCAAUUAUGGCCCCCUCCCCACCACAACCCUCCACCACCAUCGAGUAACCGCCGAUCACUGCCAAUUUCAUCAUUGAUUUCACUGUCCUUUUUCUUUUCUUCCCCUUGAUAGUCGACGCGUUGGGGUUACCACGCCGGCCUCCAUGCCUCACCGAAGUCAAGGCCGCAACCACACCUUGGAGUAUGAAAACUCAACAUUGAUGGCUCAGUUCAAGACACUGUUGCAGCUUCAGCAUUUAUAAUUCAUGAUAAUCAGGGAAAACUAAUUGCAGCAGGAGGAAAGAAAUUGAGACAUUGCUCUGGGUGUUUGGAGAAUUUGUAGUUGUUUGAUAUGGUCUACAGCUGCUAUAAACAAUCUUGGAGCUUAACAAUUAUGGAUGGUAAGGAAAUUUAACAACAGAGAUAAAUUGGAUUACAUAUCCUUCUUGUAAAUAUAGGCAGGAGGAUAUAAAUAUGUGGAUGACUUCAAGAUGGGCAAUUAAAGUUACUCAUAUACCAAGAGAAGGAAACUAUGCAGCAGAUUGGUUGGCUGCACCAGCUUGUCAGAGUGACCUCUUCAUCUCAGAGACAGAUUGGAUUCAUCCUGAGUCGGCGUAUAUACUGGCUGCAGAUGGUUUACGAAUUGUACAUAUAAAGGCCUAGGCUCAGUUAUGUCCUGUAACGUAUAUACUUCUCCGUUUCAAGAAUACUAAUUCCUUCUCUUCUGUAUGUAAUAAAGAAGGCCUUCAAGUUUA